rnacentral:rRNA from 1 species
UCGGACUGCAGGCUGAAACUCGCCUGCACGAAGUUGGAAUUGCUAGUAAUCGCGGAUCAGCAUGCCGCGGUGAAUACGUUCCCGGGUCUUGUACACACCGCCCGUCACACCAUGGGAGCUGGUAACACCCGAAGUCAGUAGUCUAACCGCAAGGAGGACGCUGCCGAAGGUGGGAUUAGCGACUGGGGUGAAGUCGUAACAAGGUACC